rnacentral:rRNA from 1 species
UACAGAGGGUGCAAGCGUUGUUCGGAAUUAUUGGGCGUAAAGGGAGUGUAGGCGGCUAAGAAAGUUUUCUGUGAAAUCUGAGGGCUCAGCCUUCAACGUGCAGAGAAUACUCCUUGGCUUGAGUGUCGGAGAGGAUAGUGGAAUUCCCGGUGUAGAGGUGAAAUUCGUAGAGAUCGGGAGGAACACCAGUGGCGAAGGCGACUGUCUGGCUGACAACUGACGCUGAGACUCGAAAGCAUGGGGAGCAAACAGG